GGGGUGGUGGCGCAGUUGGCUAGCUCGUAGGUCUCAUAAUCCUGAGGUCGAGAGUUCGAGCCUCUCUCACCCCA
rnacentral:tRNA from 2 species